GAGAAACUUCUUAAAUUACUCUCUGUGGAUACUAUCAUGGUCGGUCACUCUCUUAAAAUGGACCUACAAGCACUCAAGUUGGAUCACACCAGAGUAUUAGACACUUCACUUGUCUUCAAAUAUGAUUACUCUGGCGAGCCUCCGAAGGAGGAUAAUGGAUACUUUGAGACAUGCGUUGAGUUUGAAUUAAUUCAGCCUCGAAGGCCUUCUCUUGACUUUCUAUGCAAGUCGAUACUGGGAUAUGUAGAGCCCCCA